AGCCUGCCUUGAUGGCUUGGGACUCUGGACUUUACAGAACUUGCUGGCAGAAUUCUUUUCCUGUGCCCAACUGAAAGAAGACGAAGCAAUACCACCCCCUCCCCCCCCAGGGAUCUGCUUGCGGCCAGGAUGACGCCCUUGGUUCUCCCGCCAACCUCGUCGCCUGUGCUCUGCCAGGAGUGGUGAGAAUUAUAACCCUCCUGGGCUACGGGCCCUCCUCUCCCUCUAGAAUGACAAGAAAUUAAAGCCGUAAAGCUUAACCGACUUGCCCCAAUGAACUCAGCGAGGAAGUGGCAAACCACGGAUUUGAAGCAGGUGGUCUAACUCCAUGAGCCACACAUACACCUACUUGCUAAAUGCCUUCUCAUAGAUUAGCAGAGAUUCCACUCAAACUGUUUAUCUGUUCAGAACAGAUAUCUCUAUACAGAAGAUCUUUGCCUGGGGCCCUUCCCAUCCAAGGACUGGACCUAUCACAGCGUAGCCGGUGGCUGCGGCGGCCAUUCUUCACUUUUUCAAGUAUUGUCCCCCUCCCUGUAAAGAAGAGGAAGCAGAGGUCCGCAGAGGUCGAUCAGCUCGCCCGUGAUUCCGCGGCUGCUGGACGGUGGGGCAGGGACGCAGACUCCAGUGAGCUGUGUUCUGAGGCUGGGGCUCUAACCCCUGUGCUCCCUUGGCCAUGUGGCCAACUCCAAGGGCACCUUGGAUGACUGCAGGGCACCCCCCCCCCCAAUCAUCUGUGCUCCAUACACUGCUGACAUUCUGAACACGGCUCUUGCUUUUCAAAUGACUUAAAUGGUCUUUAAUUUUUUUUUUCCCUGCAUGGCACUUGUAAAUCCGCAGUGCCCCCAUAUUUUGCACUUUCUCUCCUGCCUCCUCCUGACGCUAUGUCCUUUGGACUGAUACUGAUACCCAGUCCAGAUUUGUCACAGGAUGAUGGAAAUACUCCAGAGCAUUAACUUUGGCUUUAUGUGAACACUAGGGACUGUGAACAACUAAGAAUGUUCUCUCAAAUGGCACGGGUACUAUCCAGAUUGCUGGGGGUGGUGCUGAGGUUAGCUGUGAGGAGGAGGCGGCACAGGCAUGUGGGCAGGGAAGCAAAAUGUGUUAAGUCUUCUAUUAUGGGGUCAGCCCACCCAGUGUGGUCACCCUCCCCACCACCGAUUUCAAGAACGAGAACCCGAGGGAAGUUGGGCCGUGACUAAGAAGCUAGUGCCCUCUCCACAAGACCACAGGGAGAGAUGGUCUUGUUGCUCCGGUCGGAUGAACCUGGUUCAUGUCAUCAGAGAAGAUUCCAGAACACCACAGUGUUAGUGGUGAACUCACACUCCUCUGUGUGAGUUCAGCAGUCAGUCCACGUUGGAGACAGUGUCUAUAAAGGAAAGUGCGUUGACUUUGGAGUCUACUGCUGUGGGCUGGAAUCCCAGCCUUGCUAGUAUAGGAGGGGUGUGACCCUGUGGAAGUUCCCCAAACCCUCUGUGCCUCGGUUUCCUCAUCUGAAGAGCGGAGAUAAUUUCUUCCUCAGAUGACUAUCGUGAGGACUGAAGGAGAUGAUGCCAGGAGAGCGUCUGGUACAGAUUAUGCCGUGGGUACUUGUACCCUUUCUGUCUGAGACUGGCUUCCUGGGGGUGACUGAGACCAUGGGCUGGCUCUCCCCGGUGUCACUUCAAAACUUUAGACAGCUCUCUCCCACCUAUAUGCAGUUUGUU